rnacentral:rRNA from 1 species
GACGAACGCUGGCGGCGUGCUUAACACAUGCAAGUCGAACGGAAAGGCCCUGCUUUUGUUGGGUGCUCGAGUGGCGAACGGGUGAGUAACACGUGAGUAACCUGCCCUUGACUUUGGGAUAACUUCAGGAAACUGGUGCUAAUACCGGAUAGGAGCUCCUGCUGCAUGGUGGGGGUUGGAAAGUUUCGGCGGUUGGGGAUGGACGCGCGGCUUAUCAGCUUGUUGGUGGGGUAGUGGCUUACCAAGGCUUUGACGGGUAGCCGGCCUGAGCGGGUGACCGGCCACAUUGGGACUGAGAUACGGCCCAGACUCCUACGGGAGGCAGCAGUGGGGAAUAUUGCACAAUGGGCGGAAGCCUGAUGCAGCAACGCCGCGUGCGGGAUGAAGGCCUUCGGGUUGUAAACCGCUUCCGCCUGUGACGAAGCGUGAGUGACGGUAAUGGGUAAAGAAGCACCGGCUAACUACGUG